GUGUAAAAGUAGUACAUCUGGAUUUAUUUACGGGAAAAAAGAGAUUGUAAUUCACUAUGUAGUGUAUAUAUAAUUCAUUUUAGAAGUUGAAAAAACUGCAUUAGUUACUCUGGUACUCUGGUGUUCAUGUUCCUAAUAUAACACUCUUUAGUAUACUAUAUAUAUAUAUACGAGUAUGUGUGCAGGUGUAUGUAUAAAUUAAAACUUAGUAAUAGUUUCGUGACAAGUAACAUACAAUUUCCUCUUCAGACGAUAUUAGAUCAAUGAACGAAUCCCGAAUAACCUAUUCUUAUAUCAAUUUACAUGACGUAUAAUUUAUUUCAGACGAGGCGUCAUGACAACAGGGUUUUAUAUCCAAGUUGCACAAUUCUGUUAAAAUCUUAUUGCCUGAAAGUGAUUUUUUCUCGUAGAGCGACAAAGUGAAAGAGAGGAGUUAGAAUCACCAAAGUGUUUUGAAGCGAUUUCUCAGGUUAUUGUUAUUCCAGGAGAAACUAGCAAAGACCCAGAAAAGAAAUCAGAAAGGAUGGAUGUCAAGAAAAUACUCAUAAAAUGAAAAUAAUAAUUGAGAAAAAAUGGGAAUAUGUGAUAAUCUGUUUAAUAUGGUGCGGCUGAUGAGUGUUUUAAAAAUUCGAGUAGGUGCUUGUGAGAAUAGCAACAUUUUAUACAAACAUCUGAUAUUAUAUACACAUAAUUCACGGAAAAUUUGAUUUUAUUCAAAACUAGACUUUUCUCUGCUGUACAUUAAUGACAUAUUUUAGAGCCAUUAUUGUAUGAUCUGCUCACCUUUAGGAUUUUAUAAUCUCAAAGUCAGUAGUAAACUCUUUUAAAUGCAAAAUGUAACUCAUGAGUGUGUUAUUCCCCUGGCUUUUUGUUUGACGUACCUACUGAUAUAAUAUAUAUAUAUAUAUAUAUAUAUAUAUAUAUACAUGAACACAAGCAAGCAACUAUAUGCCCAUGCACAUAUGUUUGCUUAUAUUUGUAUAUAUAUCAGUGUUUAUAAUUAUGUAUGUAUAUAUGUAUGUAUAUAUAUAUAUAUAUAUAUAUAUAAGUAUGUAUGUAUGUAUGUAUAUAUAUAAAACAAGCCCAUGAAUGAGUAAAUACAUCUAUGUAUAGUUUAUAUUUGUUUGCAUAUGUAUAUGUGUGUGUGUGUGUGUAUGUGUGUAUGUGUAUGUGUGUAUGUGUGUCUGCGGGGUAUGUAUAUAUGUAAGUAACUGUUAGUCUGUACGUGGGCAUGUGUGUGAAAAAUUAUAAUUAAAUAUUAAUGAAAUAAAACGACGUAUUUCCUCUGUCAGGUUCAGCGCCGCACUCACCUGGUUUACAUAAAAGGAUAGUUUACGGAAAGUAAAAUAUUUUGCAAACUAGAUCCCUCUUUCUCCUUCACUCUCCUACUCUCUCACUCACUCUGUAUAUGUAUCUAUAUACUUUCAAUAUAUAUAUAUAUAUAUAUAUAUAUAUAUAUAUAUAUAUAUAUAUAUAUAUAUAGAGGGUACUAUUAUUCAUAGGUACCGCACGCUAGGAGGGACCUUUGCAGUAAAAACUACUAAAAUAAACAAAUUUUACCGAAUGCAAAACUUCAAAGCAAGUCAUUUAAAAAACAGAAUUUUUUUUUAAUGACUUGCUUUGAAGUUUUGCAUUCGGUACAAUUUGUUUAUUUUAGUAGUUUUGACUGCAAUAGUUCCUCCUAGCGUGCGGUACCUAUGAAUAAUAGUACCCUCUAUAUAAUAUAAAUAAAUAUUUUAAAAGUGGAAAAAUUUACGGGUUUUUUCUCUUGCGAGGUUUUCACGCUAACUACUGAUAAUUUCUUAUAAAGAUUUUGUCCUUAAUUUUAAAUAUAUAUAUAGGUAGGUAGAUAAAUACAUAGAUACCUAGAAUGAUAAAUGCAUAUGUGUAUAAUUUGAAAUUAUUGCAAAUCCCAAAUUCAUUUCCACUUCAGGGCUUUGUGCGAUCUCUAUCCACAUAGGUCGACUAUUUUGAUAUUACGUCACUUCCGCUUUCAUUGCGAAUUGCUACAAAUCGUUUCGUUUCUGUUUUAGGAUAAUAACAGUGAAUAUAAAAAGGGACAGAAUCUCGAAUGCAGAUUUUUUUCUCUAUCAGAUGAAUACCAAGUAGGAUAUGAAGUGGUGGCUUAGUUCAAGUAUUUCUUUUAAAAUAUAAUACUUGCCUUUUAAUAUUUCUUAUGAUUCGCUGUUUAAAUUCAAUAUGUAUGCAUAUAUGUAAGUAUGAAUGACGAUGUGUGAAUGUACGUAUAUAUAUAAAUAUAUAUAUAUGUGUGUGUGUACGUUAUUGUGUACAAGACAGAAUACUUAUUAAAGUAUUGCCGGCACGAGAAGAAUAUUCUCCUCCUUCAUCAACAGUUCGAGAAUACCAAUUCUCUUUCAAGAAUUUCAGAAGGGGGCCGUCAGCAAAACAUGGGCAAUAAAUAUAAAGCGUAUAAAUCACUAGCAUUGAGAAAUUGAUCGAAUCAUUUGGACAAGUCUCUUAUAAAGAAACUUUAUAUUAUUCAUCACUAAAAACAAAACGAAAAGGAAAGGGUGAGCUGUACUCUACCUGCCGACACAUGAACAAAUUCUUUCUUCAAAUCACGAAAAUAACAAUUUAUGUCUAAUUAAUAUCAUUCACUUGAAAGAAUACUGAUCACAGACUUCUCUUCUCAGUCUGAGGAUAAAUGCAGUCGAGUAAAAAGAUCUUAUUGAAUGAAACUGUGGUUCGAAUGACGUGCAAUCAAAUAUUAUAUAUAUAUAUAUAUAUAUAUAUA
rnacentral:lncRNA from 1 species